UGCCUACGGGGGGCAGCAGUGGGGAAUAUUGCACAAUGGGGGAAACCCUGAUGCAGCGACGCCGCGUGAGUGAAGAAGUAUUUCGGUAUGUUAAGCUCUAUCAGCAGGGAAGAUAAUGACGGUACCUGACUAAGAAGCCCCGGCUAACUACGUGCCAGCAGCCGCGGUAAUACGUAGGGGGCAAGCGUUAUCCGGAUUUACUGGGUGUAAAGGGUGCGUAGGUGGCAGGGCAAGUCAGAUGUGAAAGCCCGGGGCUCAACCCCGGUACUGCAUUUGAAACUGUAUUUCUUGAGUGCUGGAGAGGC
rnacentral:rRNA from 1 species